rnacentral:rRNA from 1 species
CGGAGGAAAAGAAACUAACUAGGAUUCCCUCAGUAGCGGCGAGCGAAGCGGGAAGAGCCCAAGAUGAAAAGCCUGCUUGCAGGCGUUGUAUUUGGGCGCUCUUGGCGUGUCAGUGCGGGUAAGUUGUAUGGAAAUACACACCGUGGAGGGUGAAAGUCCCGUCCAACCUGCACAGGACACGCCGUACAAGAGCGUCUCAGUCGAGUCGGGUAGCUUGGGAAUGCUGCUCUAAUUGGUGGUAAAUCUCAUCAAAGGCUAAAUAGCGGCCGGAGACCGAUAGCGAACAAGUACCGUGAGGGAAAGAUGACAAGCACUUUGAAAAGAGGGUGAAAAGAGCCUGAAACCGUCACGGGAGAAGCGGAUUGCGUUGGAAUGAAGGGCCGUAGCUUGUUCAGCCGAAAGGUGCAUUGAAGCUGCGGUCUACUCGUCAUGGGUGUUGGGCGGUUGAUUUUGAACCGCCUGGUGCUGAGGGCUCCCUUUUACAGGUGAGGAUGAUUGGGUGACGACGCGAUACGACCCGUCUUGAAACACGGACCAAGGAGUCUAGCGCGAUUGCGAGUCAAAGGGUGCAAGCCUGAGGGCGUAGUGAAAGCGAGUUUAAAAACGAGCAGUUUGGGGCGGCAUGAGAUUGUUAAUCUCAAGUCCGACCUUGAGCAAUUGCGCUGGGACCCGAAAGAUGGUGAACUAUGCCGGAGUAGGGCAAAGCCAGAGGAAACUCUGGUGGAGGCUCGUAGCGGUGCUGACGUGCAAAUCGCUCGUCCGACUUUGGUAUAGGGGCGAAAGACUAAUCGAACCAUCUAGUAGCUGGUUCCCUCCGAAGUUUCUCUCAGGAUAGCGGGCCGACUGUGUUGUUUUGUGCGGUAAAGCGAAUGAUUAGCGCACUCGGGGGCAGUAUGCCUUCGGGCGAUUCUCAAACUUUCAAUGCGCAAGGGUGCCGCUGCUUUGUUGAGCGGCACCGGCAAAAACGUCGGCCCUGUGGGCCACUUUUGGUAAGCAGAACUGGCGAUACGGGAUGAACCGUAAGCAUGGUUAAGGCGCCAAACUGCCCGCUUAGAGAACCCACAAAAGGUGUUGAUUCAUCGAGACAGCAGGACGGUGGCCAUGGAAGUCGGAAUCCGCCAAGGAGUGUGUAACAACUCACCUGCCGAAUGAAUUAGCCCUGAAAAUGGAUGGCGCUGAAGCGGGCGGCCGACACCAUGCCGUCUGGUAAAGAAUAAUCAGAUGAGUAGGAGGGCGUGGUGGCUGUGUCGAAGCGUGCGAGCAGUCGUGCGUGGAACGGCCACUAGUGCAGAUCUUGGUGGUAGUAGCAAGUAUUCAAGCGAGAUCCUUGAAGGGCGAAGCGGGGAAGGGUUCCACGCGAACAUUGAUUGGGCGUGGGUGAGUCGUUCCUAAGCCGAGUGGCGAUUGCUAAGUAGCGGCGAAAGGGAAGCAGGUUGAAAUUCCUGCACACGGAUGUGGAGGCGGUGACGCUUAUUGAGGUGAACACGCUGGCGAUGGCGCUGGGCAGAGUUGUCUUUUCUGUUUGACCUGCUUUGCGCGGUGUGGAAUCCGCUUGUCGGGAGAAACACGCGCAUGAGGGCAGAGCGCCGGGGCUUUUCCGGCGUCCAGCUCGCCAUCGACGGCCCUUGAAACUUUACCUACUGAAUAAAUCCACGCCGUGGCGUACCGAUCACCGCAUCAGGUCCCCAAGGUGAACAGCCUCUGCUCAAUAUGAAAAAUGCAGGUAAGGGAAGUCGGCAAAUUAGACCCGUAACUUUGGGAUAAGGGUUGGCUCUAGUGCUGCGUGGGAGUGGUUGCCUGAGGUUGGCGUGUUUGGAGAGGCUGGCUUGGCGCGGGACCCCUCGGGGACCUGUUCCGGCUGCUGAACUGGGCAUUUCACUUCGGGCGACGCCCACAGCAUGCAGCAGACUAGAACUGCAACGGGCAAAGGGAAUCCGACUGUUUAAUUAAAACAAAGCAUUGCGAGGGCCGUGGCCGGUGAUGACGCAAU